ensembl:lncRNA
UAACAACCCUAACGGUGUCUGCAGCAGAUUAGAGGAAUCUGCACUUAACCAUUGUUGGGAUGUUAGAUGCAAUGAGUUAAUGUAGCAAAAGGUUCUAGUUAAAUUCCUGGACCACAGUAAGUACUUAAUAUAUAAAUUCCUAACAUGUAUAGUAUCUGUUUGUUUGCAUCUUUGGCUGGACCAUAUAGCAGAUGACUUAGAGCAGGCAGCAAAUGUGAGGUGGAGCCAUGGUUAUCACAACGGGCUGCCCAGACCACAAAGCUGAUUUAUUUCAAUCAUAACAGCAGCAAAUUCCUGUUAUUGUAAUGAAUCACAGCGGGUAAGCACACAGAUGCAGGGGCUGGGAUCAUGGGCUGGGCUGGCUGGCCUUGCAGCUAGGGUAACACAAAGCAGACUUGCAGUAUUCUAAUGAUGCGAUUUCUGUAGCAACCAAACUGCAGCCUGGUCACACCAAACAGGCCGUAAUGAAAUCCAGUAUUUUCAUGGAAUAGUUUUCCUAAACGAUAAGGAUUGCAUAUGGUUCUUUUUCCAUUGUGUAGCCAUUCAACCCAAAGCAAACAUUUUAAAGAUUUUUAACUGAGGUUGGCAAACUCAAACUUACUUCAGCCUAAGAAUGUCUAGGCCAUCUGCUACAAACUCUGCAAUAGGAAACACGCGGAGCUUUGCUGCUCAAACUAAUUUAAUCAUGGGAUACCAUUUCCUGGAUCCGAAGGAGAACAUUUCUAUUUGCCCAAUAGGGUUUUCUGGGGAAAGGGACUAUAUAUUUGCAGCAUGGUGUAUUAGUCACUUGGAAUUACAAAGAAAAAAAUAGAACAGAGAUUUUGGAAAAUAAACAUUGAAGAGCUCAUCUUCUCAAUGCUUUGCAGAUGAUUUUAAUAGAAGAGUUUUCAUUAAAAUAGUUUUGACAAAAAAUUGAGAGACAUGGCCAUCAUUUUGCAGGAUGAUGAUUGAAUUGUGCUGUUUAUACUUUGUUUUGGUCAUGUUUAACAAUUAAGUGCUUUUCUGUACUAGGACAGCAGAACUCAAAAUGCACCCAUGUGUCGGUGGAGAGCCGGGAUCCAGAUCAGCAGACACACAGAGGGCUGUGCUCACCCUGUAGCCACUCACUCACUUGCAUGUGAUAUGCACAGGCUGCCACCCUCCCCCCCAAAUCUUUUGUAGAAUUUUUAACUAGUUGGUUCUAGCAACCAUUCUGUUAUAGCCCCAUUCAUGGCACAGGCUGACUGUAUCUUAUUCUAAUAUUAAUUAACAGCUAUUGGUUUUGCUGUUUUCUUAGCUUUAGUUUUGCACGAAAUGAUUGUCAGAGAAGAUUGAGGAGUUUAAAACAUGAACUAUGCUCACAUUCUAAAGGAGUUUGUGCCAUAGAUAUGCCUGCUAAUUUAGUGAGUAUGGAUUUAAUGCUUUUAGCAUUUUACCUAUAAAUCUGCACAUAUAUUAAGAUCAGAUGUGUACGUUAACUAACAAUGAGCAUAUGCAAAAAAAAAUGGGCCUCUGAAUUGGGAAUUCAGAAAAUCUUUAGUACUGUGUUAGGUAUUUAUUAACCUGAAGAAGGGCUUCAGGAAGCAACUGGCGCGAAUCCAGCAGUUCAGACUUGAUCCCAGAUGCAAUCCAGCGAUCCUAGGUCCAGUGCGUCCUUCAUCACAUGUUCAGCAAUCUUCUCAUGGAGCCCUGCACAGCUCUUCUGGCAUGCUCAAACCGUAUUGAGAGCUCCAUCCAGGAUGUCACCCACGCAGAAGGUUUCACACGUGAGCCACUGGCCCUAUCGGAUUGGCCGCCAAGGUUGGGGCUCCGUGCCAUGAUCUACCUCUCCGGUGCCAGGAGCCCGACGUCCACAGCCUGUGGUUUGAAUGGGCCCAGUUUCUCACUGAUGCUGUCCUUGCCUGGAACGCAGAACAGCGUCUUCUUCUAGCACCCAGCUCUUGGGUAAACCAGUCUCUACAUAGACUCCCCUUGCUGGAGGUUAAUAACAAACUGGAGUGAAUUGAGCAGAAAAAGAUCCUCAGCUCAAGAUCUCCGAGUUUUCUCUCCAUGAGGUAAAUCCUAAGCAAACCUGAGUCUGAGAACAUCAAUCUUCUGGAAAAUUCUAAGAAUCCAUCUUCCACCAAAGGAAACGAAAGACUCUGAUGACAUCCUAUGGAAGGCCUCACCAUCCAGGGGGAGCAGAGAAGAUAUGUGACAGAUAAGGUUUUAGUGGGGGGAGGCAGGUUGGGGAGGACCGGUGGGAGAAGGGAAAUGGGAUUAUCAUGUAAAACAAUCCUGUUCCUAAUUCAAAUAAAAAAAGUUGAAAAAAAAAAAAGAAUCCAUUUUCGAAUACCUGGCAUUCUUUUUACACUUUAC